rnacentral:misc_RNA from 1 species
UCCGGUUUGGCACCGGCAGUCUCCGAUGAGUCCCCGGCAUUACCCGCUGGCAACAUCGGACAGGGGUUGCGCUCGUUGCGCCACUUAAGGCAACACCUCACGGCACGAGCUGACGACAGCCAUGCAGCACCUGUGCGGGCUCCCGAAGGAGCGCCGUGUUUCCACGGUUUCACCCCGCAUGUCAAGCCCUGGUAAGGUGGGGAUGACGUUCGAGAGUACGUCC